CAAAUUGACAUACGGGCCUUAUUUUAUAUGUAUUGUAAAUGCAGGUAUUGCAUCAUCUUUUUGUAAAUUUUUGAGUUAUUGAGGUAAAUGUCAGAUUUCACGCAUGAAAUACCUCUCAUGUUUUUCCGUAUUUCAUAACUUAAAUUUCCAUGUAAAUUUCAUUAAAUUCUGUUCAGUAAUAAGAAAGUUGAUAUUUUAUAAACUUCAGUAAUUUAUGUUCUUAUCCCCAAAACCACUAUAAUGGGCCUCAAAUUGUCAAUUUAAAUUCGCGCCAAAGUAGUUAGAUUUCCCGGCUAUAUCGUGAAUCCCGUGAAAAUGACAAUAGUCAUAGCUCACGGCUUAGCCGUGAAUCCCAUGAAAUUUAGUAUUUGGCGGGACAUUAUCCUUUAAAUAGACUGGACUAGAUAUGCCUUGCGCACACCACCUUACGACUUUAUAGACGAAUCUAUGUCUGAAUUAUUUUCUUGCUAGAAAUUUAUGCUCGAUCGAGCUUCUUCCGCCAGACGAUUUUUCCUGGUGAUGUCAUAACCCGGAAGUACAAUGCCCGAGGUUCACUUGUCUUCACUCGCCUGGAUGUGAUAUUCCCAGCGCAGAGCUUUCGUCCCAUGGUUGUGCCGUAAACCGCAAAGACGAUGAUUUUUGUUAUCCUCUGAAGUCAGCUCAGGGAUGCAAUCACCUACCACCAUAGGGAGCCAAUACGGAAUCAACGUAUUCACGGUUUAAAGGGACUGAAUUUAGAGAUCUGUUUUGUUUGUGCUACUUAAAGUUCACAAUUGAAUUAAAGAACUGUGUCACGUCAGAUUAGAAUGGAAUUCAAGAACUUUUGUAUCUAGAGAUACUGAACUUUCUUUUUUUUUUCUUUCUUAUAAUCAGUUUUUUUUCUUUUCAUAUCUAUUCAUUGUUAAUAAUCAUCUUUUGUAAAUUUGUAAAUAUUGUAAAGGGUGUUGAUUUGUUCUGAUGGUUACUGUCGCCGGUACGGCCUUUCCUGUCACAGAAGUGUCACAACAGAAACGGUUGCAAGAAUUAUGACAGAAGAAUAUCAUGUAAUAAUUUAGAGAUGGUACCUAAAAAAUUCAAAUUCAUCUUUACAUAUUUUUUUCAGAGUGAAAUGAUAGCUAAGUGCACCAAUUUUCUAAAUAUAUUUAUGGCUUUCCUCUUCUCCAUGAAAAAAUAGAAUUAUUUGAUAUUUAAAAAACGACUUUUUCAAAAUAUCUGAAGCAAAAUGGACAACUCUUGUAUUGACCGUUUUAUAAUGAUUUUAGGAUUUCCCCAAUUAUAGUCUAUAUCAAAAGUUUCCACAGCUAAAUAAAUUCAAUAGAGUAUAGUGUAAGUUUAGUCUACUUUCAGCACUCUGAAAGAGCCUAUACUGAACUUCCUUUUGUCUUUUAAUAAAGUCAAAAUCCAAGACUAGCCAAGAGUCUAAAACGCUUGAAAAAAAUUCAGAGUGAAAGAGAAUGACAUGCUGUUUAUCAUAAGCUUGCCAAAACCAUACCAAACAUUUACCUGAAAGAAGUUAUUAAAGACUUUAUAAUGUAAACAAACCCCUACACUAUUUUACCAUCAAUAUUUCCCAUUCAUAAAUGCACUCAAUUCAGGUGAUAAUUGCUGAUAUAAUUGUAAAUGAGAGGCCCUAACAAACUUUUUUCUUUUUCAAGUUGUGUAAACAGUUUAGGUUAUAGAUUAAUGUUGAUAUCUGAAGUUACUCGCUCACUUUGUUAAAAACAAUAAAUAAAACACCUUAUAGCUUGUUUAAAGUAUAUGUAUCGAAAAUCAUCAAAUAAAGUAAACUCCAUAUGCUUUUUCAGCAUUUAUUCGUUUUUCAAUUAAAGCAAUGAUCGUGAUAGUUCCAUCCAGAGAAAGUUGAAUUGCUUAAAAUACAUUACAUAGAGUCAUUACCUAUGAGCCACCUUAAAUGAAGUAAUUACAACCAUUACCUUGAAACAUUGUAAUUAUAUUCGACUACAAUUAAUUUUUGUGUUACAUUAUUUGAAGCAAAGUACUCCUGAACAGUAAGAGAAACUCUUCCAAAUGACUAAAGCAUAAGAAACACUUUCAAAAUGAUUCAUUUAAGUGAUAAAUAUACGCAAUCUAGCUACUUUGUUACACAAAAGUGAUACUAGUUUAACUUUUUGUUUGUUAUUUCUCAUUGUUGGAUAUAGAAAUUUUACAUUUUAAUAUAUAAAUUUUGUGUAAACCAAUGUAUCACCAUUAAGAACAAUAAAUAACUUUGACUAAAA